rnacentral:rRNA from 1 species
UACGGAGGGUGCAAGCGUUAAUCGGAAUUACUGGGCGUAAAGGGCGCGUAGGUGGUUGAAUAAGUUGGCUGUGAAAUCCCUGGGCUUAACCUAGGGUGGUCAGUCAAUACUGUUGAACUAGAGUACGGGAGAGGGUAGUGGAAUUUCAGGUGUAGCGGUGAAAUGCGUAGAGAUCUGAAGGAACACCAGUGGCGAAGGCGACUACCUGGCACGAUACUGACACUGAGGCGCGAAAGCGUGGGGAGCAAACAGG